rnacentral:rRNA from 1 species
UGAGUACGAGAUGCUACGGCAUCGAAGCAGUCUAUGUCAUACUUCCAAGAAAAGCUCGCACUGUCAUAGACAAAUAAUGCCUGUACCAUAACCGACACAGGUGGGUAGGUAGAGUAUACUAAGGGGCGCGAGAUAACUCUCUCUAAGGAACUCGGCAAAAUGACUCCGUAACUUCGGGAGAAGGAGUGCCUUAUUUAUAAGGUUGCAAUAACAAGAUCCAAGCAACUGUUUAUCAAAAACACAGGUCUCCGCUAAGUCGUAAGACGAUGUAUGGGGGCUGACGCCUGCCCAGUGCCAGAAGGUUAAAGAAGUUGGUUAGCAUUAGCGAAGCUGAUAACUGAAGCCCUGGUGAACGGCGGCCGUAACUAUAACGGUCCUAAGGUAGCGAAAUUCCUUGUCGGGUAAGUUCCGACCCGCACGAAAGGCGUAAUGAUUUGGAUACUGUCUCGGAGAGGGGCUCGGUGAAAUAGACUUGUCUGUGAAGAUGCGGACUACCUGCACCAGGACAGAAAGACCCUAUGAAGCUUUACUGUAACUUGAAAUUGAAAUUGGACUUUAUUUGCGCAGCAUAGGUGGGAGGCGUUGAAAAUAUUCUCGCGGGAAUAUUAGAGCCAUCAGUGAGAUACCACUCUUGUAAUGUUAGAUUUCUAACUUUGUAUCAUUAUCUGGUCAAAGAACAGUUUCAGGCGGGCAGUUUGACUGGGGCGGUCGCCUCCUAAACGGUAACGGAGGCGCACAAAGGUUUCCUCUGAACGGGUAGAAAUCGUAUCUAGAGUGUAAAGGCAUAAGGAAGCUUGACUGUGAGACCUACAAGUCGAGCAGGGACGAAAGUCGGUCUUAGUGAUCUGACGGUGCUGAGUGGAAAGGCCGUCACUCAACGGAUAAAAGUUACUCUAGGAUAACAGGCUGAUCUCCCCCAAGAGUUCACAUCGACGGGGAGGUUUGGCACCUCGAUGUCGGCUCAUCGCAUCCUGGGGCGGUAGUACGUCCCAAGGGUUGGGCUGUUCGCCCAUGAAAGCGGUACGCGAGCUGGGUUCAGAACGUCGUGAGACAGUUCGGUCCAUAUCCGGUGUAGGCGUUAGAAUAUUGAGAGGAGCCUUCUUUAGUACGAGAGGACCGAGAAGGACAUACCUCUGGUGUACCAGUUAUCGUGCCAACGGUAAACGCUGGGUAGCUAUGUAUGGAGAGGAUAACCGCUGAAAGCAUCUAAGUGGGAAGCCCACCUCAAGAUAAGUAUUCUCAU